UACGGGGGGGUAAGCGUUGUUCGGAAUUACUGGGCGUAAAGGGCUCGUAGGCGGCCAACUAAGUCGGACGUGAAAUCCCUCGGCUUAACCGGGGAACUGCGUCUGAUACUGGAUGGCUGGAGUGUGGGAGAGGGAUGCGGAAUUCCAGGUGUAGCGGUGAAAUGCGUAGAUAUCUGGAGGAACACCGGUGGCGAAGGCGGCAUCCUGGACCAUUACUGACACUGAAAAGCGAAAGCCAGGGGAGCAAACGGG
rnacentral:rRNA from 1 species